rnacentral:rRNA from 1 species
GACGAACGCUGGCGGCGUGCUUAACACAUGCAAGUCGAACGAAGUGGCGCACGGGUGAGUAACGCUUAAUCAACCUGCCCUUCAGAGGGGGUCAACAGUUGGAAACGACUGCUAAUACCUCAUACUGAAGGAGGGGCUCCCGUCUGAUUAGCUAGUUGGGGGCGUAACGGCCCACCAAGACGAUGAUCAGUAGCCGGUCUGAGAGGAUGAACGGCGACAUUGGGACUGAGACACGGCCCAGACUCCUACGGGAGGCAGAAGUGGGGAAGCUUCCGAAAUGGACGAAAGUCGGACGGAGCAACGCCGCGUGAGUGAUGACGGCCUGCGGGUUGGAAAGCUCUGUUAAUCGGGACGCGGGACCGGAAUAGAAAGCCACGGCUAACUACGUGCCAGCAGCCGCGGUAAUAC